rnacentral:rRNA from 1 species
GAAACGGUUGCUAAGACUGGAUAGGAAACAGAAAGGCAUCUUUUUGUUUUUAAAAGACCUUCUUCGGAGGGUAUGCUUAAAGAGGGGCUUGCGCCACAUUAGUUAGUUGGUGAGGUAAAGGCUUACCAAGAUUAUGAUGUGUAGCUGGACUGAGAGGUUGAACAGCCACAUUGGGACUGAGACACGGCCCAAACUCCUACGGGAGGCAGCAGUAGGGAAUUUUCGGCAAUGGAGGAAACUCUGACCGAGCGACGCCGCGUGAACGAUGAAGUAUUUCGGUAUGUAAAGUUCUUUUAUUGAAGAAGAAAAAAUAGUGGAAAAACUAUCUUGACGUUAUUCAAUGAAUAAGCCCCGGCUAACUAUGUGCCAGCAGCCGCGGUAAGACAUAGGGGGCGAGCGUUAUCCGGAAUUAUUGGGCGUAAAGGGUGCGUAGGCGGUUAGAUAAGUCUAUAAUUUAAUUUCAGUGCUUAACGCUGUCUUGUUAUAGAAACUGUCUUGACUAGAGUGAGAUAGAGGCAAGCGGAAUUCCAUGUGUAGCGGUAAAAUGUGUAAAUAUAUGGAGGAACACCAGAAGCGUAGGCGGCUUGCUGGGUCUUUACUGACGCUGAGGCACGAAAGCGUGGGGAGCAAACAGGAUUAGAUACCCUGGUAGUCCACGCUGUAAACGAUGAGUACUAAGUGUCGGGGUAACUCGGUACUGAAGUUAACACAUUAAGUACUCCGCCUGAGUAGUACGUACGCAAGUAUGAAACUUAAAGGAAUUGACGGGACUCCGCACAAGCGGUGGAUCAUGUUGUUUAAUUCGAAGAUACACGAAAAACCUUACCAGGUCUUGACAUACUCUGCAAAGCUAUAGAAAUAUAGUGGAGGUUAUCAGGGAUACAGGUGGUGCAUGGUUGUCGUCAGUUCGUGUCGUGAGAUGUUAGGUUAAGUCCUAAAACGAACGCAACCCCUGUCGCUAGUUGCCAGCACGUAAUGGUGGGGACUUUAGCGAGACUGCCAAUUAAACAUUGGAGGAAGGUGGGGAUAACGUCAAAUCAUCAUGCCCCUUAUGAUCUGGGCUACAAACGUGAUACAAUGGCUAUUACAAAGAGUAGCUGAAACGCGAGUUUUUAGCCAAUCUCAAAAAGGUAGUCUCAGUACGGAUUGAAGUCUGCAACUCGACUUCAUGAAGCUGGAAUCGCUAGUAAUCGCGAAUCAGCAUGUCGCGGUGAAUACGUUCUCGGGGUUUGUACACACCGCCCGUCA